AAAAACUAGGCGGGGAUGGUGGUUCGAUUGGCGAACUGUGUGAAGGGUUUUCGGUUAUUGAUGGAUUGGGAUAAAGGGGUCAUCAUAUUUCGUAGUCCAGUUUUUGUUAGAAAGAAUCUCAUCACCAAGAAUUCAACUUUUCGUUGUAUCUUUGGUUUUAUACUUUUCUCUAUGUAAACAUAUAAUACAUUGCAAAAAUAUAUACAGA
rnacentral:misc_RNA from 1 species